CUCCCUCUUCCCCCACCACCCCUCCCCAGCAGGACCUUCCCAGUGCCCACAUGCACAGGAUGAGGCCCCUCAGCCCAACUCCUCCCACCGGCCCCUUUCUCCAUCACACCCCUGCAGGGAGAGCAGCCCAGAGACACGUGCUGUGUUUUAUUCAGGUGGGUGGGGAUCAGCCAGGGGUGCCACUACUGUGCCCUGCGGGCCAUCAGCAUCUCCCGGAUAUUGUCCUCUGCUUCCUUCACGCUCCGCUCCAGGUACGACUUCUUCUGCUGCAAGGCAGAAACCAGAGCAGCUGUGGAAAGACUCGAGCGAAUGCAAAUACAAUUCCAGCUCACACCCCAAAGAAGAAAAGGAGCUGUGGUUAACAGAAGUGGCCCGUGGCCUUUUGACACGGCAGGAGUCACCUCCUGCUCCAGCCUCCACCUCUGCUCCCAUUGCAUCACGCAGCUGCUGCUGCUGCUGCUGGAGAGGCCCGAGCUCCUCAGGAUGACGCACCCGGACCUGGCAUUCCUGGCAGAUUAAAGAGCCAGCAUCCACAGAUUCCACAGCAAGAGAAAACUAUUAAUCAGCUUUUCUUGGAUGGGCUUUUGAUGAUCAAAGCACUGCCUUCCCCCCAGCACUGUGAUUCAGACGCCUCUGCCUUCAGGGAGAGCAGCUUGGCCGCUGCCAGCCCCGCGUGUGGCAGGGCCUUGGCUCCAGCCGGUGGCUCAGUGGAACAGGGGACAGCAUUGUCACCCACCCCAAGAGCCCAAACAGCCCUGUGCUCCCAGAGAGAACAGACACAGCAGCCCUGCCCAUCCAUGCUGCCAUACCCUCCCCCUCACAGGAUUCCAUUCUGAACCCCUGAACAGGAAGGAGGUGAACCUGCUGAACAGCACCCAGCUGCUCCUGCUCCAGGAGAAGCUGAAGUAGUGGACACCAGCAAGGGGGUGGGGUAGGUCUGCAGGCAGCCCUACGCCCUGAUGGGUCCACCCAGCACUGGUCCUCACCCAGCUGAACACUGUGGCACAUGUACACACUGGGAAUUGCUACUCUACAGCAACCACCAAAUAUUUAGAUACACUUCAAGACUUUCCAAGCAGUUAUUGCCUCAGGAAGUUGCCCAGAGUUUGCUCAAGAAUGAAUGGCCUGGAAUAGGAAGGGAGCCCAGCUGGUUUCUGACGACAGCUGCUGACAGAAGCGUGAUGCCAUAUACCAAAGAGGAGAAGUGAUGAUUCACACCCUGGUUUUCACCAUCUCUUCCUUCCACAAGGUAAAGGGGACCCACAGAACUAUCUGGGUUAGAGUGUAGAAGAGAAAACAUCAAGCAUACAGCUACAUUUGCCAACUCAAGAGAAUUCUUACAAGCACCUGCCUAAAGAACUGCUGGUGCAAACAUCAUGGUGCACUGAUCCUACUGCAGCACAACCAGCUGGGCUUCCCCCAUCAUUACUGAAGCACCUCGAGGAACAUACUCUGAAAAAGCUAAGCUGGAAAAACCCCAUUAAGUUCCAUUCUUCCUGCCUUCAAGAGAAGAAGGGGCAGAAAGCCAGACUGCCUGCCAGCCUUUCUGCCCAACCCCAGCCUCAUGGCAGCAGCACUUCACAUGGACCCACUGUCUGAGCCACAGGACAGCACUUUCAGCAGAGAUGGAGACAGCUGCUCUUGGUGAGAGGGAAAUGAUGGAUUAUUCCAGUGAACUCCUGCACCCUAGCCUGAUGUGAACUACUACAAAAGCAAGUCGAUGAGAACCUUUCAGUAGGUGGCAGCAGAAAUGUAUUAUCAACCCAAAGGAUUCCUUUAGGGACACCCCUUCUUGGCACAAUUCCCCAUUCAGAGCAGUUUCCAGGAGUACACUGCUCCAGGCUGGAUACUGCAUCCUAACCAGGUUAUGACAGCAGAGUCAGGUCAAACAGAGAACUUGGGGAGGGGAAACUCACUCAGAUCCUGAAAACCCCCACGUUGUGUUUCGGCGGAAGCGUCCCUCACCAAACUGCCUCUUGCAAAACGUGGUAAGUUCCCCAUGCCAGUGCCUCAGUUUCUGUGGUCCUGCAGAGCUGGUGUGGCUCAUCAGGAUCCCUCCUGGCAGUAGGACUUGUGCAAAACCAUACCACACCUUUCAGCUCUCGCAGUCCUGGCCAAGCAAGGCCACUUUAAAAGCAAAAUCAUUUCCAUACAUUUCAAAGACAAAUCAGCAACAAGAAGUUGGUGUCAACUCCCACCCAGGCAGUAUCACCCCCUCAGUUCAGACAGCCCUGAGCUCAGAGCAGCCACAUGCCCACCACCAUGGCAUGAGGGACAGAGCAGGGGUGACCCAGCAGUGGGGACAGCAGGAAGCAUGACGGUGAGGGCUGCCCUGCAUACCUGGGAGCAAGGUGUGGCUUUGUACAGCUGACUCAGGGCUGGGUCAGGGCUCCAACAGGCAGGAACAUGCUUUCCAAAUAAUCGUUUCCUGUUCUCCCCAGGCGAGAUGGAGGAGGAGAUGGAAGCAGGCUGAAGGUUUAUCAGGCACAGAUAAUCCCCCUCCCCAGAGCUGCUUGGCACAAAGGCAGCCAGGAGCCACUGCAGGGGCCUGGUGACUAAGGGAAGGACAGCAGUGCUGGGUUUGUGACUAAUUAUUACUCAUGCAAGGAGGAAUUUGGAGAGGGACCCACAUUCAGCUCAGCUCGUUGCUUUGGAUACUUCUGCAGCCAUAAGCACAAAGGAGAGCUUUGACAAUGAAUCAGACCCUGCUCUAAAAUGAAAGACUUAUCAACCAACUUGGUGUUAAAAUGAUUUCAGUGUAACCAUAAAGGCAGCUUAAUGCUAAUCAGAGGAAACAAACCAUGUUUUCAGGCUCAGAUGAGUAAAUGUAGGUUCCUGGAUGGACAAAACCAUUUAGACACAGCAGCAGAAGUGGGUUUUUAUUAAUGCAUAGUGUGUUUCACUUUCCUCUGAAUUACAAAGGAAUGUGAAUGGACUGGCAGGAGUUGCUUGAAAAGUUUUCUCUGUUAGGUUGUUGGGGUUUUUUUUAAUCAAGAGUAAUCCCCCUCCCCAAAAAAACCAUAACAAUGUUCUGAGAUGCCUUUAUUUUGAAAGCCUGUCUAUAAGUAGCCUAAAAGACUUAAAAGGAAGCAAACAACCCCCACAUUAAUUAUCCUCUUGCUUUUAAAAUCUACAAUUAUCCACCCAAAAAUAAAGGUAGGAAGAGUGAAAGCAAAGUCAUCAAAUUCCAGUUCUUCCUUCAUAAAGCCUUUGCCCUCUCAGCUUGUUUGUGUGCUUACUUUGCAGUCUGCAGUACAGGGAAGACUAACAAAGAAUUACUAAUUAAACAACUGCUUGCAAAAA